AAUUUUGGACAAUGGGGGCAACCCUGAUCCAGCCAUUUCGCGUGUGUGAUGAAGGCCUUCGGGUUGUAAAGCACUUUUUGCAGGAAAGAAAUCGCGCGGGCUAAUUUCUUGCGUGGAUGACGGUACCUGCAUAAUAAGCACCGGCUAACUACGUGCCAGCAGCCGCGGUAAUACGUAGGGUGCAAGCGUUAAUCGGAAUUACUGGGCGUAAAGCGUGCGAAGGCGGUUCGGCAAGAAGGAUGUGAAAGCCCGGGGCUUAACCUCGGAACUGCAUUCUUAACUGCCGGGCUAGAGUAUGUCAGAGGGGGGUAGAAUUCCACGUGUAGCAGUGAAAUGCGUAGAGAUGUGGAGGAAUACCGAUGGCGAAGGCAGCCCCCUGGGAUGAUACUGACGCUCAUGCACGAAAGCGUGGGGAGCAAAC
rnacentral:rRNA from 1 species